AGGAUGAACGCUGGCGGCGUGCUUAACACAUGCAAGUCGAACGAUGAAGCCGGAGCUUGCUCUGGUGGAUUAGUGGCGAACGGGUGAGUAACACGUGAGUAACCUGCCCUUGACUCUGGGGAUAAGCGUUGGAAACGACGUCUAAUACCGGAUACGACGCGCGAAGGCAUCUUCUGCGCGUGGAAAGAUUUCGGUCAAGGAUGGACUCGCGGCCUAUCAGCUAGUUGGUGAGGUAACGGCCCACCAAGGCGACGACGGGUAGCCGGCCUGAGAGGGUGACCGGCCACACUGGGACUGAGACACGGCCCAGACUCCUACGGGAGGCAGCAGUGGGGAAUAUUGCACAAUGGGGCGCAAGCCUGAUGCAGCAACGCCGCGUGAGGGACGACGGCCUUCGGUAGUAACCGUCUUUAGUAAGGAAGAAGCGAAGUGACGGUACCGUGACAGAAAAGCGAACCGGCUAACUACGU
rnacentral:rRNA from 1 species